rnacentral:rRNA from 1 species
AGCGAACGCUGGCGGCAGGCCUAACACAUGCAAGUCGAACGAAGUCUUCGGACUUAGUGGCGGACGGGUGAGUAACACGUGGGAACGUGCCUUUAGGUUCGGAAUAACUCAGGGAAACUUGUGCUAAUACCGAAUGUGCCCUUCGGGGGAAAGAUUUAUCGCCUUUAGAGCGGCCCGCGUCUGAUUAGCUAGUUGGUGAGGUAAUGGCUCACCAAGGCUACGAUCAGUAGCUGGUCUGAGAGGAUGACCAGCCACAUUGGGACUGAGACACGGCCCAAACUCCUACGGGAGGCAGCAGUGGGGUAUUUUGCGCAAUGGGCGAAAGCCUGACGCAGCCAUGCCGCGUGAAUGAUGAAGGUCUUAGGAUUGUAAAAUUCUUUCACCGGGGACGAUAAUGACGGUACCCGGAGAAGAAGCCCCGGCUAACUUCGUGCCAGCCGCCGCCGUAAAAC